rnacentral:rRNA from 1 species
GACGAACGCUGGCGGCGUGCUUAACACAUGCAAGUCGAGCGGUAAGGCCCUUUCGGGGGUACGACGAGCGGCGAACGGGUGAGUAACACGUGGGUGACCUGCCCUCCAGCUCUGGGAUAAGCCUGGGAAACUGGGUCUAAUACUGGAUAUGACUCCACGGUGCAUGUCGUGGGGUGGAAAGCCUUGUGCGGCUGAGGAUGGGCCCGCGGCCUAUCAGCUUGUUGGUGGGGUGAUGGCCUACCAAGGCGACGACGGGUAGCCGGCCUGAGAGGGCGACCGGCCACACUGGGACUGAGACACGGCCCAGACUCCUACGGGAGGCAGCAGUGGGGAAUCUUGCGCAAUGGGCGAAAGCCUGACGCAGCGACGCCGCGUGAGGGAUGAC